rnacentral:sRNA from 1 species
UAAAGUAUCUUUAAAAGAAGAGAUGGUUU